AUUGAACGCUGGCGGCAGGCCUAACACAUGCAAGUCGAGCGAGCGGCGGACGGGUGAGCAAUGUAUGGGGACUGCCCGAUAGAGGGGGAUAACUACUGGAAACGAGGGCAAAUACCGCAUACUAUCGGAUAACCCAUAUGGGAUUAGCUAGUAGGUGGGGUAACGGCGCACCUAGGCGACGAUCUCUCGCUGGUCUGAGAGGAUGAUCAGCCCAACUGUGACUGAGACACGGCCCAGACUCCUACGGAGGCAGCAGUGGGAAAUAUUGCACAAUGGGCGCAAGCCUGAUGCAGCCAUGCCGCGUGUAUGAAGAAGGCCUUAGGGUUGUAAAGUACUUUCAGCGAGGAGGCGUUACUCGCAGAAGAAGCACCGGCUAACUCCGUGCCAGCAGCCGCGGUAAUAC
rnacentral:rRNA from 1 species